GCAAGCGUUAUCCGAAAUCAUUGGGCGUAAAGCGCCUGUAGGUUGUUUAUUAAGUCCGUUGUUAAAGCCUAGGGCUUAACCCCAGAAAAGCAAUGGAAACUGCUAGACUCGAGUAUGGUAGAGGUAAGGGGAAUUUCCAGUGGAGCGGUGAAAUGCGUAGAUAUUGGAAAGAACACCGAUGGCGAAGGCACCUUACUGGGCCAUUACUGACACUCAGAGACGAAAGCUAGGGUAGCAAAAGGGAUUAGAUACCCCUGUAGUCCUAGCCGUAAACGAUGGAUACUAGAUGUUGUGCUUUUGUACAGUAUCGUAGCUAACGCGUUAAGUAUCCCGCCUGGGGAGUACGCUCGCAAGGGUGAAACUCAAAGGAAUUGACGGGGGCCCGCACAAGCGGUGGAGCAUGUGGUUUAAUUCGAUGCAACGCGAAGAACUUUACCAGGACUUGACAUACUACAGAUUCUUUAGAGAUAGAGAAGUGCCUUCGGGAAUGUAGAUACAGGUGGUGCAUGGCUGUCGUCAGCUCGUGUCGUGAGAUGUUGGGUUAAGUCCCGCAACGAGCGCAACUUUUAUUUUUAGUUACCAAUUCGUUGGGUUCUCUAGAAAGACUGCCCGGUGACAAACCCGGAGGAAGGUGAGGAUGACGUCAAGUCAGCAUGC
rnacentral:rRNA from 1 species